rnacentral:ncRNA from 2 species
CUUUAAUAAGGCGAUGGAGCUCGCCUUAAAUGCCUGAGAUGCUGAUGGCUCCUGCUUUUAA